rnacentral:tRNA from 1 species
GCCGUCGUGGUGGAAUGGUAGACACGGGGGACUUAAAAUCCCCUGCCCGUCACUGGGCGUUUCGGUUCAAGUCCGGACGACGGCACCA